CAGUCGCCGCGGGAAUACAGAGGGUGCGAGCGUUAAUCGGAUUUACUGGGCGUAAAGUGUGCGUAGGCGGCUUUUUAAGUCGGAUGUGAAAUCCCUGAGCUUAACUUAGGAAUUGCAUUCGAUACUGGGAAGCUAGAGUAUGGGAGAGGAUGGUAGAAUUCCAGGUGUAGCGGUGAAAUGCGUAGAGAUCUGGAGGAAUACCGAUGGCGAAGGCAGCCAUCUGGCCUAAUACUGACGCUGAGGUACGAAAGCAUGGGGAGCAAACAGGAUUAGAGACCCCCGUAGUUCCUGUCUCUUAUAC
rnacentral:rRNA from 1 species